AGCGAACGCUGGCGGCGUGCUUAACACAUGCAAGUCGAACGUGAAAUGUAGCAAUACAGAGUAAAGUGGCGUACGGGUGCGUAACACGUGGGUAAUCUACCAAAGAGCCUGGAAUAACCGACCGAAAGGUUGGCUAAUACUGGAUAGUUCAAAUGAAAUAUAAUGUUUCGAUUGGGAAAGGGAGCGAGCAAUCGCCUUCACUUUUUGAUGAGACCGCGUCUGAUUAGCUAGUUGGUAGGGUAAUGGCCUACCAAGGCGACGAUCAGUAGCUGGUCUGAGAGGAUGAUCAGCCACACUGGAACUGAAACACGGUCCAGACUCCUACGGGAGGCAGCAGUGGGGAAUCUUGCGCAAUGGACGAAAGUCUGACGCAGACACGCCGCGUGAGUGAAGAAGGCCUUCGGGUUGUAAAGCUCUGUCGGAAGGGACAAAAACGUUUAAGGUUAAUAGCCUUAGAUCUUGAUGGUACCUUCAAAGGAAGCACCGGCUAACUUCGUGCCAGCCGCCGCCGUAA
rnacentral:rRNA from 1 species